rnacentral:rRNA from 1 species
GACGAUGUCUGAUGGAGCACGCCGCGUGAGUGAAGAAGGGUUUCGGCUCGUAAAACUCUGUUGUUAAAGAAGAACAUAUCUGAGAGUAACUGUUCAGGUAUUGACGGUAUUUAACCAGAAAGCCACGGCUAACUACGUGCCAGCAGCCGCGGUAAAAGA